GAUUCAUUUCACAAAUGAUUCCCUCAUAGUGUUAACCAGCCUAAUUAGCAAUCAUCUGACAUUUUCUAAGACUGAAGUAAAAGCUUCAAGCUGUCUUUGAAAUCCUGGCAUCAGCCUUGAGACACAGGUAGUCAUCACUGCCCUCGUCUUUUGGGGUGGCGUGUGGAAGAAAGGUAACAAAGACCACAGCACUGUUGGAGCCGGUGAACGCCCCUUCCCUUGCACUUGGACUGGGUGUGAUAAAAGAUUUGCACGCUCAGAUGAACUGGCCAGGCACAAUCGGACACAUACAGGGGAAAAGAACUUCCAGUGUCCCAUCUGCCAGAAAAAGUUUAUGCG